AUUGAACGCUGGCGGCAUGCCUUACACAUGCAAGUCGAACGGUAACAGGCCUUCGGAUGCUGACGAGUGGCGAACGGGUGAGUAAUGCAUCGGAACGUGCCCAGUUGUGGGGGAUAACUGCUCGAAAGAGCAGCUAAUACCGCAUACGACCUGAGGGUGAAAGCGGGGGAUCGCUAGACCUCGCGCAAUUGGAGCGGCCGAUGUCAGAUUAGGUAGUUGGUGGGGUAAAGGCCUACCAAGCCGACGAUCUGUAGUUGGUCUGAGAGGACGUCCAGCCACACUGGGACUGAGACACAGCCCAGACUCCUACGGGAGGCAGCAGUGGGGAAUUUUGGACAAUGGGCGCAAGCCUGAUCCAGCAAUGCCGCGUGCAGGAAGAAGGCCUUCGGGUUGUAAACUGCUUUUGUCAGGGAAGAAAUCCUCUGGGUUAAUACCCCGGGGGGAUGACGGUACCUGAAGAAUAAGCACCGGCUAACUACGUGCCAGCAGCCGCGGUAAUAC
rnacentral:rRNA from 1 species